UUCCAUCGCUGAAGUUUCACAACGCUCAGUCCGCUCUCCGCCAUCUUUCGCAGCGAAGUAUUUUUUCCAACAUCAUUUUUCGAAAGGUUUAUUGAUAUUAAUUCUUUAUUGAAAAACAAAAACGAAUAGCCGGAAUCGCUCUCGGGAGUUCAUUUGUGCGGACAAUCGAACAGAAGCUAUACAAGUUGCAUCCAGAUUCCAGACCAUGUAGGUAUCUAUUAACCGGUACCAAGCUUGCAGCUCCCAACUAAAUUUAAUACCGGCUGGAGCAAUGCUGUAAAAAUGAGAAAAGGCCAAGAUUACGCCCCGUUGUAAUCCAUAAAAAUGUCCUCAGUCAUCUGUAACCGCAAUGCAUUAGCCAGGAAACAGAAACCAAUUUGACACCGUAGCGUAGUACGAUUUGUUGUACACAAAUAUCGCAAGGACGGUACCGGUCGUAUGACUGGUGGCACACUCCUCACAUCUGCUGGCUGGAUGUAGGAUGCACCGAAUCGACGGGAGUUAGAUGUUUAGUUUACUUGUUUUUUUAAAGCUUGUCCGGAAUUUUCGCAAAAAAAACGCCGACUUUACCGACAGCAAAACUUUUAGCCAGAAUGGGUUGUCGCGUACUUAGACCAUCAAGAAGCUCAUUAAUGAGAAAUAUACUAUACUCGGUUGACGAGGAAUCUCCACAGACAUGCGCUGCAUCGAAGAAGUGGUUAUUAUUCCUACCGCCCCUGCGCAACUGAAUUGCCGCGUUCGAGAAACAUCUGAAAAAGCGUCUGCGUCACCCCCAGGUGCGUGGUAUUUCCAUCAAGCUGCAGGAAGAGGAACAUGAACAAAGGGUUAACUACGUGCCAGAAGUAUGCGCUAUGAAGCAGGACACCUUCGAAGUUGAUCCGAGACCACCUUUAACAACAUUGUCGUGCAGGUAACGAAUCGUUCCGCACAAGGUUAUAACCGACUGCAAAUAACAACAUGAUUAAGUCCGAGAGCACUGGAAAAAUUUAAACAUCUGUGGAAGGAGAGUAUUUGUAUUGUAUGUAAAUUGGCCGAUUUGUGGAAAGAAGUUUGUAGAAAUCUGAACGGCGACAUAUGCAUCAAAUGCUGGGAGCAGUUUGCUAAGUUUUCAACGAGGAAAAAUAAACGCGCUUUCACCAACUGAGGUUUGGAUAUGACACCAGCUGACCACAAUCAAUUUAGAUAUCCCCUCUGUACGCCGGGUAGGGCAAGUUGGAAGCAAAAUCGAUUGUACGGUGUCUCGCCAAGUGGAAAUACAGGUAGUCAGCGAGUUGAACAUGCCACCAUGACCUGUGAAGUGAGUCAUCCAGCGGAGAAUUCAACGAACACUGGAUGAAGUUUUUGAAGCAGUGCAGGUAUGAGCGUUCGACGUCGCCCAAGACUCCUGAAGUCAGUGCCGCUGUUGUUUUCCACGCUGGCAAGUUAUCUGGAAGUGACCUGCGAGUUUCGAGUGAGAAGCCGCUCACCUUUCGCCGCAUCGGAAGGUUAUAUUCACUAUGGCUCUUUGACCUGGCUGAUAUUGCCAUUACAUUUUAGAGCUGCGGAUAGACCGAUCCAGGACAACGAAUCAAAAAUCAAAUAAACGAAAAAUGGUCACCGAGUCGCAUUAUGCCGCUUCAGCUGUAUAGAAAAACAUUUCUUUGCAUGACAUUAUUUUAUUAAUAGAAACAUAUAUUAUCAAAUAAUAAAUAUAUAAGAACAAUUAAGUAUCAUGCCAAUUCAAUAAAAAUAAAUUUGAAAACGAAAA